UUUAACGAUUUGUUUUUGUACUCAGACAUCACAAUUAUAAAGGAUUUAAAAAGGCUACUGGCAGGCACGGACCAGAGGUCAUAAGACCCCCGGCAGCCCCUAAGGACGGACCCGCCAAAGCAACAGGGUAGAAUAAACAAAGGGUUGGAGGUCGGGCCCAGAAGACCCUAACUCGGUAAUGAUCCUUCCGCAGGUUCACCUACGGAAA
rnacentral:misc_RNA from 1 species